UGCAAGUCGAGCGGACAGAUGGGAGCUUGCUCCCUGAUGUUAGCGGCGGACGGGUGAGUAACACGUGGGUAACCUGCCUGUAAGACUGGGAUAACUCCGGGAAACCGGGGCUAAUACCGGAUGGUUGUUUGAACCGCAUGGUUCAAACAUAAAAGGUGGCUUCGGCUACCACUUACAGAUGGACCCGCGGCGCAUUAGCUAGUUGGUGAGGUAACGGCUCACCAAGGCAACGAUGCGUAGCCGACCUGAGAGGGUGAUCGGCCACACUGGGACUGAGACACGGCCCAGACUCCUACGGGAGGCAGCAGUAGGGAAUCUUCCGCAAUGGACGAAAGUCUGACGGAGCAACGCCGCGUGAGUGAUGAAGGUUUUCGGAUCGUAAAGCUCUGUUGUUAGGGAAGAACAAGUACCGUUCGAAUAGGGCGGUACCUUGACGGUACCUAACCAGAAAGCCACGGCUAACUACGUGCCAGCAGCCGCGGUAAUACGUAGGUGGCAAGCGUUGUCCGGAAUUAUUGGGCGUAAAGGGCUCGCAGGCGGUUUCUUAAGUCUGAUGUGAAAGCCCCCGGCUCAUCCGGGGAGGGUCAUUGGAAACUGGGGAACUUGAGUGCAGAAGAGGAGAGUGGAAUUCCACGUGUAGCGGUGAAAUGCGUAGAGAUGUGGA
rnacentral:rRNA from 1 species